rnacentral:lncRNA from 8 species
UGGUUAAUGCUCUUUUAGUCUGGUAUGUACAAUUAUUUUGAUUUAAUCUUUAAUUUAGUCUAGGUUUUAAUCACAUCCAUAUUGAUGUAUUCUCACUUUGAUGAAGUCUAAACUUAAAUACAACUGCUGUAUUGAUGUCUUUUUUAAAGAAAGUUUAUUUGUUAAUUUUUCCUUAAGUUGUAUUAUUCACUUGUUUGAAUUUGUAAGUUAACUGAGGAGGACCAACUACUGCAAUUUAUACAAACAACCAAACAACAUAAACUGAUCUAGACUUGGCAUUUGUCCUGUUCUGUUUCCAAAAACAGAAUGUGAUGGUCAGGCUGUGGCCACUGCACAAAUAUACUGGAAAAAAACAUAACUACAUCUCAUUGACUGGGCCGAGCAUUUAGUCAUAUUUCUCUCUCAAUAAACUUCUCCCCUUUACUACUACAGAUGUAUCACACCAAGGGUUAUUUGCAUGUGGACAGACAAUUAACCUUUUAAAACACUCAAAAUAACAGCUAAUCUUGCACUUUUUACAAUCUGUAGUAUUUUUUGAAGUAUGGGAACAUGCUGCAUUCAUAGACCAUUUUUUUUGCCUCUCAUUUUGAAUAAAGACUCCAGAAAACUGACAUUGAAAUAUUAAAGGAUUUCAUUAUUUCUCAUCCUGCAUUAG